rnacentral:tRNA from 1 species
GGUGAGAUGGCCGAGUUGGUUAUGGCGUCAGGUUAAGGCUACCUUAGCACCAACCUCCUGAUGGAGCAAUCCUCCUGGGUUCGAGUCCCAGUCUCAUCA